rnacentral:rRNA from 1 species
UACGUAGGUGGCAAGCGUUGUCCGGAUUUACUGGGCGUAAAGAGCGCGCAGGCGGUCGUUCAAGUCGCGUGUGAAAGCCCCCGGCUCAACUGGGGAGGGUCACGCGAUACUGAUCGACUCGAAGGCAGGAGAGGGAAGUGGAAUUCCCGGUGUAGUGGUGAAAUGCGUAGAUAUUGGGAGGAACACCAGUGGCGAAGGCGACUACCUGGCCUGUUCUUGACGCUGAGGCGCGAAAGCUAGGGGAGCAAACGGG